rnacentral:lncRNA from 1 species
GGCCUGCUGAGUUUGGAAGCUGGGAUGCUGGGAGUAGAGGUGGGCAUGGGCACUUGGCCCAGACUUGAAGGCCAUGGGGCAGAUGGGGCACUUGUGGAAAACCUCGCAGUGCGACGUCUGGAUGUGGGACUUGAUGGAGUUCACACCCCCAAACACCACUGAACAGCUGGGGCACCUGUAUCCUACACGGCGAGAGACGUGCAGACAGGCCUCCCGGAGAUGGGUCUGAAAAUUGGCUUGCAGGAAGUUGCCCCCACACUCAGGACAGACAUGGGGGGGUCGAUUCUUAUGCAUGCGCUGGUGGGCGCUGAAGCUGCAGCGAUUGGGGAGCAUCAUGGGGCAGGUUGGGCACACCUGUCGAGUGGGUUAAACAAGGAAAGUCGGUGAGGAGUGUCCUGUCUCCAUUACUUCUAACCAAGCCCCCAACGCCUUCCUAGAUCCUGUCCCCACAGAAGGGCUGUGAAAGGUGACUCACAUUGCUGGUGGCCCCAGGGGCAGGGGGGCCGAGCUGCUGGAAGUGAGCUGCCAUGCCAGCCUUGUCCCGGCACUGUUCCUUGCACUCCAGGCAGCGAAAGCAUGUGUAAGCAGAGGUGGCAGGGGCAGCAGGCGGCUCUGUGGAGAGCGGCAGGACAGGGGCCUCAGCAGCAACUGUAGUAAUGGCAGAGGAGGUGAUGGCCCCCUCACCCUUGCCCAAGGCAGGCAAGGCCAGAGGUCCAGAGACAGGUGGGACAGCUACAGGCAGCAGGGGUGUGAUGUCCGGCUGCCCCACCAUCUGGUCAAGGGCUACAGGCCUCAUGACCAAAUGUGAGCACUGCAUGACGAGCCCCUUGUCCUUGUGUUCACGUGCAUGCAGGAGCAGGCUGCACUUGUUGAAGAAGACCAGGCGGCGGGCGCAGUGGUUGCAGGUGACCUCGAUGCGCAUGCUCCGACGGUCAUAGUGCCGUGCCAGGCUCUUCUCCAAUGAGAAGGCAUCCCCACACUCCAGGCAGCGGUAGCCGGUGGGAGGCAGGGCCAGCCCAGCCUCAGCUGGUGGGCUCAGGUUUGGCCUAUAGGCAGGGAGCAGGUUCUUGCUGUUGAGGAUCUUGUUGAAGGCCUCCACCAGGCUGGACUGGGUCCGUGAUAUCACUGUGCCGCCCCCUGUACUUGGCCCAGUAGCUGUCUUUGAAGGUUGCACCAUCACCACCGAGGCACCAUUCACCUUCUGUCCCCCAGUCCCCAGCCCUGCCCGCCCGUCAGCCUUAGGCAGGGCUUGGGGCACCAGGCCUAGCACGUUCUUAGCAAUCAUCUUAGGGCUGGUGGCAGUCCCCCCAGGCAGCACCACAGCCUUGCGAGCCACACUGGCUGCCAUCAGCAUGGCAGUACUGGCGUUCUGGAUGGUGGCCACAGGCAGCACAGUGCCUUUCAGCCUUGUACCAUCACCCAACUGUACGCUCACCACCUUUGGACCCUCAGAAGUAGGUGUUGCAGGGGACAGCUUCAAGAGGCUAGCCUCAGCCAAGAAGGCCCCCUCAGCCAAGGGGGCAGGUGGAUCAGGAUCUGAGGGGACCUGAGUUACAGUCCUUGUGAUAUUCCCGCAGGAUGUUUUAAUGGUCUUGAUCCGCACCUUAAGAGGCCUAGAGGAGCUGGAGGCAGGGGAGUCAUUGCUGUCCUCAUCUGCAGCCUCGGCCCCACUAGAGGGACUCUGGGGACUUCCUGGGGAAGACUUGUCCACCGGCCCCUCAUCAUCAUCUUCUUCCUUCAAGGGCUGACAGACGGGCACUUUGGGGGAGGCAAGAGGGCUCUGGUGCCCUGGAGACUGCUUGAAGAAGGGCACCCCAGCAACUGGGGGAGGCGAGGCACUGGCAGGGAUGUCCGUGGCCUCAGGGCUGGAGCCUGAGCCUUGUUGGGCUAGGACCUGGGGAUGAUGGGGGCUGCAGCUCUCCUGCUUCAAGGCCCCCAGUGGUGGGGAAGAAACAGGUGGCUGCAUGCCUGGGCCAUUCUCCUGGGCCAGCUCAAAGGAAGAGGGGAAAGGAGGCGGGGUCAGAGCCUCCUCCUGAGGGGGAGAGGGUGCAGAGGGAGGCAGGGGAUCUGAGUGGUCCCCUGGCUCAGGGCCAAAAUGAGCAAACAGGUCCAAGGGAGUUUUGCCUUCCAUGCCUUUUUCUUUCCAGGUGCCCCCACUGGGAGGAGCAGGAGAGUGGGGAGUUCCUGGGAGGGAAGGUUCAGGGCUCCCAAAACCAUUCUGCAUUCGAUGAGGCCCCACAGGCCCUUCCUUAGUUACCCCAGCAGCCUGGGCCCCGUCUCCUGCUGAGCCUCCAGCCAGGGCCUCAGACUGCUCGGGACACACAGUGUUCUUGACAAUGACACUGACUACAGAAAUGUCUGGCGGUGGCAGGCCAUGGUCAGAGGCCUGGGCUGGAACUCCAGGGCCAUCCCCAGCAGAGGCUGCUGCUGUGUCUUCAGAUUCACUUCCUACACCUGGUUCUGGCUUCCCUGGGCCUCCAGGCCCCUCAUUUUCUUCUGGCCCAGAAUGGAUGGCUUCAUUCGCAUCAAUGUCAGGGAUGUCAAAGGCAGCAAGGAGGUCAUCAAAAUCAGGGGUCUUCAUAUCCCCCAUAUCGGCAGAUCCCAGACCUGAUGAAAACAGGAACGAGGAGGAGAAACUGAGAUGUCUAGAAGAGAGAUCCUG